GGUGCCCGUAGUUCAGCUGGUAGAGCACCUGGUUGUGGUCCAGGACGUCGCGGGUUCGAGUCCCGUCGGGCACCCCCA
rnacentral:tRNA from 1 species